AGCGAACGCUGGCGGCAGGCUUAACGCAUGCAAGUCGAGCGGGCACUUUCGGGUGUCAGCGGCGGACGGGUGAGUAACGCGUGGGAACGUGCCCUCUGGUUCGGAAUAACUCAGGGAAACUUGAGCUAAUACCGGAUACGCCCUUUUGGGGAAAGGCUUGCUGCCGGAGGAUCGGCCCGCGUCUGAUUAGCUAGUUGGUGAGGUAACGGCUCACCAAGGCGACGAUCAGUAGCUGGUCUGAGAGGAUGAUCAGCCACACUGGGACUGAGACACGGCCCAGACUCCUAGGGGAGGGAGCAGGGGGGAACAUUGGACAAGGGGCGAAAGCCUGACCCAGCCAUGCCGGGGGAGUGAUGAAGGCCUUAGGGUUGUAAAGCUCUUUUAUCCGGGACGAUAAGGGCGGUACCGGGGGAAUAAGCCCCGGCAAACUUCGU
rnacentral:rRNA from 1 species